UCCUUAAGUUCCUCAUCUUCAUUUGCAUUUUGUCAGAUUUGUAUAGUAAAUCAGGCUUGACCUGAGAGAUGUUCUGAGAAAAGCCAUUCUGGAGGUACCAUGAAUUUCCUAAGGGUGGAGACUGAAGCUGCUUAGAGAAAUACAAAUAAAAGGAGGGAUGGAUGCCCUUGUCAUAUCUGACCAUCACAUGUAUCUGGUUAAUGAUCUUUAACAAACAAGAUGGAGGAACUCUCUUAUCUGUUCUUACUUUUGGGUGUCUUUUCCAUUCAGGGGAGUUCAGAAAACUUGAAAGAGAAUUUGGCAUUAAAAGGAAAGGCUGUACAGUCAUCCAUAGCUAAUGCUGGUGGAGCUGAAAAUGCCAUCGAUGGCAUCAAAUAUUCUCCUUCAGGAAAACCCUAUCCACAAGAAACCUAUAAAUACUGCUCCC